ACUGCUCAGUAACACGUACGAAUUUACCCUCUUCUUGAGAAUACCUUGUCGAAAGAUGAGCUAAUACUCAAUAGUCCCUUUGAUGUCCAAAAGACAUUUUUGGGUAAAGGACAUAACUGUUUGGAAGUGGAGAAGCGUGCGGACUAUCAGGUAGUUGGUAGGGUAACGGCCUACCAAGCCAAUGACGGUUAGCUGGUUGGUGAACGACGAUCAGUCAGAGGAGCACUGAGACACGGGCUCCACACCUACGGGUGGCAGCAAUCGGGAAUAGUUGGCAAUGGGCGAAAGCCUGACCACGCGACACCGCGUGCGGGAAGAAGCUCUUUUGAGCUUAAACCGCUGUGGUAAGAGAUGAACCCCCGCCUUAGGCGGGGUUGACCGUAUCUUAUUAGAAAGUGACCGCUAAUUGCGUGCCAGCAGCGGCGGUAAUACGUGAGUCACAAGCGUUAUCCGGUGUUAAUGGGCGUAAAGUGUGUGUAGGUGCCCCGACGAGUUUUUGUUUAAAUAUCCCGAUUCAAUCGGGAAAAGGGCAAAAAUACUGUCGGGGUUGAGUUUUCUUUAGGGAAAUCGGAAUUUAUGGAGGAGCAGUGAAAUGCGUUGAUACCAUAAAGAACACCAGUGGCGAAGGCGGAUUUCUGGAAGAAGACUGACACUGAGACACGAAAGCUAGGGGAGCGAACCGGAUUAGAGACCCGGGUAGUCCUAAGCUCUAAACUAUGCUCGCUGGCUGCAUUUUCCCCGCCUUUGGCUGGGAGGGUGUGGCGAAGUCAACACGUUAAGCGAGCCGCCUGGGAAGUACGGUCGCAAGACUGAAACUCAAAGGAAUUGGCGGGGGAGCAC
rnacentral:rRNA from 1 species